ensembl:scaRNA Small Cajal body specific RNA 6
GGUCGAUGAUGACGUGUAAAAGGUCUGAGCUGCACACGCCCCUCUGAAGAGCCUCAAACUCCCAUGAGCCUCUGCUCUGCUCCCAGCAUGCUCCAGUGACGCACGCUGGCUCAGGGCGCGCUCACAGCAACAGGAAGUGACAUCACGGCGUGUGGGGCCUGUACAGAGCUCCUAUAGGCUCCGCAGUGAUGAGGUCACUCCCCACAGACCAAUCAGAGCGGAGGAGAGGCCGAGGGGCGGGGCAGACGCUGAUCUCAAGUUUUCAAGCUGAGACC